rnacentral:rRNA from 1 species
CCUACUGGCGGCAGCAGUGAGGAAUAUUGGUCAAUGGACGAGAGUCUGAACCAGCCAAGUAGCGUGAAGGAUGACUGCCCUCUGGGUUGUAAACUUCUUUUAUAUGGGAAUACAAUGAUCCACGUGAGGGAUUUUGUAUGUACCAUAUGAAUAAGGAUAGGCUAACUCCGGGCCAGCAGCGGCGGUAAUACGGAGGAUCCGUGCGUUAUCCGGAUUUAUUGGGUUUAACGGGAGCGUAGGUGGAUGGUUAAGUCAGUUGUGAAAGUUUGCGGCUCAACCGUAAAAUUGCAGUUGAAACGGGCAGUCUGGAGUACAGUAGAGGUGGGCGGAAUUCGUGGUGUAGCGGUGAAAUGCUUAGAUAUCACGAAGAACUCCGAUUGCGAAGGCAGUUCACUGGACUGCAACUGACACUGAGGCUCGAAAGUGUGGGUAUCAAACAGGAUUAGAUACCCCAGUAGUC